UUCUUGACGGGGGAAAAAAAAAAAAAGGGAGUGGAGGAUGGACGGCCGGUUCCGAUUGCUUGAAAAGACACGUUUUAAGCCGGGCGAAAUCGGUCGCCCGCGAAGCUUCGGCCGCGCGGAGAGGAUAAGCUGACGGCUCAACCUAUCCUUAACCGCUUUUGGAGGCCGCGAACCCACAGUCAUAGUUGCAUGUUGAUAUGGGGAGUACGGAGAUGAAGGAAAAUAAAUUCUUAAAUCAUGCAUGUAGAAAAGAAGAUAGAAACACAGAAAUCUAAACGGCUGUGCGAAAAGUUAUAUUUGUUUUGGCUCAAGAGGCAGAAGACAAAAUAAUUCUUAACCAACUGGAAAACACUGACCAUAAGAGGAGAUUUAGAAGAGAUUGUUGCUCUUGCCACAAUUUUCACUCGAACAGAAUAGGAAAUAAAAUGCUAAUUUUCCCAAAUCAACUACAUUAUGAAAAUCA